rnacentral:rRNA from 1 species
CCUACGGGUGGCAGCAGUGAGGAAUAUUGGUCAAUGGUCGGGAGACUGAACCAGCCAAGCCGCGUGAGGGAUGAAGGUACAGAGUAUCGUAAACCUCUUUUGUCAGGGAACAAAGGCGGGGACGUGUCCCCGUAUGAGAGUACCUGAAGAAAAAGCAUCGGCUAACUCCGUGCCAGCAGCCGCGGUAAUACGGAGGAUGCGAGCGUUAUCCGGAUUUAUUGGGUUUAAAGGGUGCGCAGGCGGGCUGUUAAGUCAGCGGUAAAAUCCCGGGGCUCAACCCCGGCCCGCCGUUGAAACUGGCAGUCUUGAGUUGGAGAGAAGUAUGCGGAAUGCGCGGUGUAGCGGUGAAAUGCAUAGAUAUCGCGCAGAACUCCGAUUGCGAAGGCAGCAUGCCGGCUCCACACUGACGCUGAGGCACGAAAGCGUGGGUAUCGAACAGGAUUAGAUACCCUAGUAGUC